UACGGAGGGGGUUAGCGUUGUUCGGAAUUACUGGGCGUAAAGCGCACGUAGGCGGAUCAGAAAGUUGGGGGUGAAAUCCCGGGGCUCAACCCCGGAACUGCCUCCAAAACUCCUGUCUUGAGUUCGAGAGAGGUGAGUGGAAUUCCGAGUGUAGAGGUGAAAUUCGUAGAUAUUCGGAGGAACACCAGUGGCGAAGGCGGCUCACUGGCUCGAUACUGACGCUGAGGUGCGAAAGUGUGGGGAGUAACAAGAUGAUGAUACCGGUACC
rnacentral:rRNA from 1 species